rnacentral:rRNA from 1 species
UCAAGCAAGAAAGAGCAUAUGGUGGAUGCCUUGGCACUGAGAGCCGAUGAAAGACGUGAUAAGCUGCGAUAAGCGCCGGGGAGGAGCAAAUAUCCUUUGAUCCGACGAUUUCUGAAUGGGGAAACCCAUCUGGAUGAACUCCAGAUACACAUAAGUGAAUACAUAGCUUAUGUGGGGGAACCCGGGGAACUGAAACAUCUAAGUACCCGGAGGAAAAGAAAGAAACAUCGAUUUCCUUAGUAGCGGCGAGCGAACGGGAAAGAGCCCAAACCAUCGUGCGUGCAUGAUGGGGUUCGGACUGCAAUAUAUGAGCGACAGGAUAGGAGAACGGUCUGGGAAGUCCGGUCACAGAGAGUGAAAACCUCGUAUCCGAAAUCCGAAUCGCAGUUAGCAGUAUCCAGAGUACCGCGGGACACGGGAAACCCUGCGGGAAUGAGCGGAGACCACUCCGUAAGGCUAAAUACUACUCAGUGACCGAUAGAGCAUAGUACUGUGAAGGAAAGGUGAAAAGAACCGCGGGAGCGGAGUGAAAGAGAACCUGAAACCAUAUGUUUACAAGCUGUGGAAGCACUUUAUAUGUGCAACCGCGUACUUUUUGUAGAACGGUCCGGCGAGUUACGCUGGCUGGCGAGGUUAAGUCAUCAAGUGACGGAGCCGAAGGGAAACCAAGCCUGAAUAGGACGAGUUAGUCAGUCAGAGUACACCCGAAACCGGGUGACCUAUCCAUGUCCAGGAUGAAGUUGCCGUAAAAGGCAAUGGAGGUCCGAACACACAUCCGUUGAAAAGGGUGGUGAUGAGGUGUGGAUAGCGGAGAAAUUCCAAUCGAACCCGGAGAUAGCUGGUUCUCCUCGAAAUAGCUUUAGGGCUAGCCUCGAGACAGUCUAAUGGAGGUAGAGCACUGAAUUUCCUAGGGGGCGUCAAAGCCUACCGAAGAAUAUCAAACUCCGAAUGCCAUGUAGAUGAUUCUCGGGAGUCAGACUGCACGAGAUAAGUUGGGUGGUCAAAAGGGAAAGAGCCCAGACCUGCAGCUAAGGUCCCCAAGUUGGUGUUAAGUGGAAAAGGAUGUGGGAUUUCCAAAACAGCUAGGAUGUUGGCUCAGAAGCAGCCAUACAUUUAAAGAGUGCGUAAUAGCUCACUAGUCGAGAGGUCCUGCGCCGAAAAUGUCCGGGGCUGAAACACCACACCGAAGCUCAGGAAUCAUGCUUAUGCAUGAUUGGUAGAGGAGCAUUGCAUACGGAACGAAGCAGUACCGGUAAGGAGCUGUGGACUGUAUGGAAGAGAGAAUGCCGGAAUGAGUAGCGAGAAUGAAGUGAGAAUCUUCAUGGCCGAAUAUCCAAGGUUUCCGGGGUAAAGCUGAUCUGCCCCGGGUAAGUCGGGACCUAAGGCGAGGCUUAAGUGCGUAGCCGAUGGACAACAGGUUUAGAUUCCUGUACUUCCCAUGAACAGAACUGUGGGGACACAGCAGACGGAGCGCGAGCCGGAAAAGGAAAGUCCGGCGCAAGCGGUGAGUGUGUCAGGAGGCAAACCCCCUGUAUAAACACAAGCCGUGAUGCGGAGCGAAAUACAAGUAGCGAAGAGCGCCGAGCCGCUGUCGAGAAAAGCCGCUAUUGUUUUGUGGGAACCCGUACCGUAAACCGACACAGGUGGAUGAGGAGAGAAUCCUAAGGCCGGCGGGAGAAGCAUUGUUAAGGAACUCGGCAAAAUGACCCCGUAACUUCGGGAGAAGGGGUGCUCCAGAGAUGGAGCCGCAGAGAACUGGCCCAAGCAACUGUUUAGCAAAAACACAGGUCUAUGCAAAACCGAAAGGUGAGGUAUAUGGGCUGACGCCUGCCCGGUGCUGGAAGGUUAAGAGGAGAUGUUAGCCGCAAGGUGAAGCAUUGAAUUUAAGCCCCAGUAAACGGCGGCCGUAACUAUAACGGUCCUAAGGUAGCGAAAUUCCUUGUCGGGUAAGUUCCG